GCACAGGAGCUAGGAAAGAAAUAUUACAGAUGAUUUGGUACCGUAUCAGGUACACAGAUAAAGAGUAUUCCAGAAGUUUAUGAAAUCAACAGUUUUCACCACAGAUUGAUAAACCUACAGAUUUUGGUCGUUUUGCUUAGUUAAUUAUAUAUACUCAUUGGACUUUCAGAGCAGAACUUCCUGAAAGAACUUUAUUUUCCUUGGAAAGAAACAUAACAAACCGCCGAGAAAGAUGUAUUGAAAAUGGUCAAUGAACACACACAAAUGAGACAAUUUGGAGGUUUUCUACAGGUCCUCUGAAAGGUUUGCCUGCCAGCCUGAAUCCACAUUAAAGAAUGUCCUUAAAGUGUUGACUAAUAACAUUGGAGCUGUUCCAGUCUUUGUGUUCAACCUUCUGUGAAGGAAUAGGUUUCCUUCUGAGGUCUUAUACAUAACUAAGUGCAUCUGCUAUCUAAAGGAUGAAUUUUGUCAAGAAGUUGAGUUAAAAGGAGAAACCUUUUGAAGAAUUCCAAUCUUCUGCAGUUGGUUAAGGGUAAUUACUGGCUUUAAAAAAAAAAGCACUUAAAACAUUGAAAACCUGAAUGAAUUUACUUGAUAAUUGAAAGAGCACAUAAAAUUAUAUUAACAUGUAAUGACAAAAUAUGAAUUCAAAG